rnacentral:rRNA from 1 species
UACGUAGGUGGCAAGCGUUGUCCGGAUUUAUUGGGUUUAAAGGGUGCGUAGGCGGCCCUGUAAGUCAGUGCUGAAAUAUCCCAGCUUAACUGGGAGGGUGGCAUUGAUACUGCGGGGCUAGAGUACAGAUGAGGUAGGCGGAAUUGACGGUGUAGCGGUGAAAUGCUUAGAUAUCGUCAAGAACACCUAUAGCGAAGGCAGCUUACUAGGCUGUAACUGACGCUGAGGCACGAAAGCGUGGGUAGCAAACAGG